UACGGAGGGGGCUAGCGUUGUUCGGAAUUACUGGGCGUAAAGCGCACGUAGGCGGACUGUUAAGUCGGGGGUGAAAUCCCGGGGCUCAACCCCGGAAUGGCCUUCGAUACUGGCGGUCUUGAGGUUUGGGGAGGUGAGUGGAAAUCCGAGUGUAGAGGUGAAAAUAGUAGAUAUUCGGAGGAACACCAGUGGCGAAGGCGGCUCACUGGCCAGAUACUGACGCUGAGGUGCGAAAGCGUGGGGAGCAAACAGG
rnacentral:rRNA from 1 species